AUUGAACGCUGGCGGCAUGCUUUACACAUGCAAGUCGGACGGCAGCACAGAGAAGCUUGCUUCUUGGGUGGCGAGUGGCGAACGGGUGAGUAACAUAUCGGAACGUACCGAGCAGUGGGGGAUAACUAAUCGAAAGAUUAGCUAAUACCGCAUAUCUUCUGAGGAAGAAAGCAGGGGACCAUUUGGCCUUGCGCUGUUUGAGCGGCCGAUAUCUGAUUAGCUAGUUGGUGGGGUAAAGGCCUACCAAGGCGACGAUCAGUAGCGGGUCUGAGAGGAUGAUCCGCCACACUGGGACUGAGCCACGGCCCAGACUCCUACGGGAGGCAGCAGUGGGGAAUUUUGGACAAUGGGCGCAAGCCUGAUCCAGCCAUGCCGCGUGUCUGAAGAAGGCCUUCGGGUUGUAAAGGACUUUUGUCAGGGAAGAAAAGGGCGGGGUUAAUACCCCUGUCUGAUGACGGUACCUGAAGAAUAAGCACCGGCUAACUACGUG
rnacentral:rRNA from 1 species